GGGAAGGUGGCAACACCUUGAGAGUGGCGUACGGGUGCGUAACGCGUAUACAACCUGCCUGUUACACGGGGAUAGCCUUGCGAAAGCGAGAUUAAUACCCGAUGGUACUAUUGAGCGGCAUCGCUUGGUAGUUAAAGCUGAGGCGGUAACAGAGGGGUAUGCGUCCCAUUAGCUAGUUGGUAGUGUAACGGACUACCAAGGCGACGAUGGGUAGGGGUUCUGAGAGGAUGAUCCCCCACACUGGUACUGAGAUACGGACCAGACUCCUACGGGAGGCAGCAGUAGGGAAUAUUGGGCAAUGGACGGAAGUCUGACCCAGCCACGCCGCGUGCAGGAAGAAGGUCCUCUGGAUUGUAAACUGCUUUUCUUGGGGAAGAAAACCCUUCUGCGGAAGGAAUUGACGGUACUCAAGGAAUAAGCAUCGGCUAACUCCGUGCCAGCAGCCGCGGUAAUACGGAGGAUGCGAGCGUUGUCCGGAUUUACUGGGGUUUAAAGGGUGCGUAGGCGGGCGAUUAAGUGAGAAUUGAAAAGGCAGUCGCUCAACGAUUGUAAGGUUCUCAUACUGGUUGUCUUGAGAGUAGUGGAGGCAGAUGGAAUGAGUGGAGUAGCGGUGAAAUGCAUAGAUAUCACUUGGAACACCGAUUGCGAAGGCAGUCUGCUACGCUAUAUCUGACGCUGAGGCACGAAAGCGUGGGGAGCAAACAGGAUUAGAUACCCUGGUAGUCCACGCCCUAAACGAUGGUUACUCGGUGUUCGCCUGAAUAACGUGAGUGCCUGAGCGAAAGCGAUAAGUGACCCACCUGGGGAGUACGACCGCA
rnacentral:rRNA from 1 species